UGAGGUUAAAAUCGCCAGAGUGACCUUGAGCUCCUAGUCCAAGGCCAGCUGAUAAGACCUUGAGGUAGCUCUGGGGAUAGAAGUCGAGGUUAGAAAUUCAGUCAGGGGUCUACCCAGCCUUGAUUCCAGCCCUGCCCUCCCCUGGGACAGCCCUUCUACUGGAGUGGACAAUGUGUAGAAAGGCCGUGCCCAACAACUCAUGUAAGGGAGCCAUAUUGGGCACUUGGACCAUUUGGAACUUAGACUGAGACUUGUCAAGGGGAGUAGCUAAGGUCUUAAGACUCCCAAUCUGUGACAACUAUUGUAUCCCUGGCUUUGUCCUUUCUUUAUUCUACAUGUUUCACCCUCCCCAGAUCUAAUGAAAUUCUUGAUCUGUGGCUUCUCAUCAACCAGUUUACCACUUGUCGUCUAGUCCCUUCCCGGUGUCCCUGUCUUUCCUUAUCUCAUCUCUCUUCCUCUUCCUCAAACAUUUAAUGAGAAACUAUUCCUGUGUCAGGCAGGCAAUUUGAUAGACAGAGAAUGGCCUCAUAAAUAAAUGGUUGAUUUCUCUCUUUACCAAAUAUGGGUAUUGAGGAAUUGCUGUGUGUCUGACAUUGGGACUAGCAUGUUCAGAAGGUGAGAGAUGAGAGAUGAUGACGAAUUUGAGGAACUAAGACAGGUCCAGCCUGACUAAGCACAGAGUAGGAAAAGGGGGGCAAUCUGAGCAAUGAUGCAGGAGGGGUAGCUAGCAGCCAGGGCAUGCAGGGUCUUGAGAGCCAUUUUGGACACUGGCCUAAGAGCAGUGGGAAACCAUGGGAGCAUUUAAGCUGAGGAGCGACAUGGUAAGAUAUGUAUUUUGUUGGUGUUUCUGUGGACAGCUGAGCUAAGAGGUGGGCUCAAGGAAGGUGGGGCAGUGGGAAUAGAUGGGAAUGCAAAGAUUCAUGACAUGAACAAAUACUCAGGAGUGGGGCCCACCUCCCUUGGGAACUUAUCAAAUGUGGAGCCCCCUGCAUUUAAUUCUGUUAUGUGCUGCUUAAAUUUUGGUAACAGAUCUCUCUAGUUUCUGAGGCUGUGUCCAUGAUUGGGGAUUGGGCAGAUAGGGGAUAGCUGGGGUAGGAUGGUGAAGUAGGUGGGAGGCAGUCAGGUGUGCCAAGUGAGAAGCUGGGGGUGAGUGGAGUGAUGGACCCUGCAUGUCCUUCUGGAGAUGUUCUUGGGAACACUGAUAAGGAUAUCUUUGGUGGUGGUGCAGAAGGGAGCUGAGGUUAUUAUUACUUGGCUAUUAAAGGAAUAGUGGUCUCUGGAGGGCUGUGAAACUCAGUUCUCACAUGUUGUCAUAGAGGACUGACUCUCAUGUGACAAGAGGAAGGAGUCACCAACUCUUAGGAUGCAUUUUGGUCCCAGAAUAUUUGUGCAUUUUCUGGCUGUGCCCCACCUGUUUGUUUUUCACUGGAAUGCAGAGCCUCAGGACUGACUCGGUCUCACAGCCUUUGAAGACUGCCAGCCAAAGGAACUGGAAUCUAGUUCGGAAGCAAUAAGAGAGAGAGAGAGAGAACGAACAAGCAGGAAGCGUGGCAGGCAGAGGCAGAGGGAGAAGCAGAAUUCCUGCUUCUUGAUCCCAGGACCCCAGGAUCAUAACCUGAGCUGAAGGCUGUCACUUAACCAACUGAGCCACCCAGGCAUCCUGAGGCCUUUGUCUCCUACACCUGAACAGCUUCAGAGGAAAGCCACCUACCAUUGCCACCAUCUCCAGGGACCUCAUACACAGAAGCAGAUAGCAAGAAAGAGCCCUAUGUGUCCCCACGCCCAGGGCUACCAUGGCCCGGCUCCUGUGUAGAAGACAGAGGAGCCCUCAUACCCCUGCAGCCCUCAGCAAUAAGUGUGGCUCACCUUGGCCUGGAGGCCAAACAGCUGGCCCUAACAGGGCCUCGUCUCCACCGCGGGCAGACAGGGAUGGAGUGUGAUGGACAACCCUUGAGCUGCUUUCUCUAGAGGCCACUGAAAAUCACCCGUCGGAGGAUCUCUAUUACUUCCACCGUGCAGAAUGGUGCCGAAACUUUUCCGGAGAGCAUAAUUUGGGGAAGAAAUGGAACUUCAUUUGAGAAUAUAAAUAUCUUACGAAAUUGCCUCUAAGUGAGAGGAGUUUGAAGAGACAAAGCUUAAAGAAAGUCCCUGGGCGACUCAGUGGAAAGUGCUUGGAAAACCUGCAGAUGAUCUGGGGCCAUAGUAAGGAAGAAACAAGAAAUACGGAGAACCGUCAGAAGGGAGGAGUAUGUGGAAGAGGACACGAGCCGGAUUCAUUGCUGCAAGAGACAAAGCAAUGGUUCCAUUAAAUGGGAAGCUGAGGCCACCAGCCAGCCACUUUGGGCUCCUUAUCACAGUGAAUCAACAGGCAAAGAAGAGUUUUAUACUGACUGGACUGAGUGAUCCUCACUGUCAAGUGUUGCUUCUAUGCAGUAGAGAUUACAACACUGAGGCUUAGAGAAAGAAUAGAAAGCCCAGAACCACAUGGAUGUGUAUGAAGAAUCAUGAUUGGAACUACCUGCUUUUGGACCUCAUGCUACUUACGUAAACUCUAUCCACUCAGUGUUAGACAACAAUCCAACGGCAGAUCUACAACAGCUGCUUCAGCAGGUGCUGUGACCAUCUCCAUAUCACAG